AAAAAUAUAAGGUAGAAAGCAGUCUGAGGAAGUGAGCAGAAGUCAAUUGUUCUUUACAUUCUGUACAUAGUAGGUGCUUGUGUUGUGGUUUAAAUGAGUCAACUUGAGUGAAGAUGAGAAGCAACAAGUAGGUUACUGUUUUGACUUGAGUCCAUCAAAUUACCUCUACAAACAAGGAACAAAGGAACAACUGGCAUCACAUUUGCUCAAAAACAUUCCCACUUAUUCACUUAG